rnacentral:rRNA from 10 species
GCUUACGGCCAUACCACCUUAGGCACGCCCGAUCUAGUCUGAUCUCAGAAGGUAAGCAGGGUCGGGCCUGGUUAGUA